ACUACAGGGCAAGGGUCCCAUGUACUUUCUCCAGGUCAGCAGGAAAACUUGCAGUGACGUUGCAGACCCAUCUCUCUUUCCUCUCCCAAUAAAUAAAUGCAUAAUGUAGUGCUAUAAAAAUGCUAUUUUGCAGGAAAAGUCGAGGUUACCUUGCCCACAUAGGACCAGUUGAAAGAACUCUGGCUCAGAAAAAAGACGGAUGGUGCUUUUGAGUCACUUUGCUGUACUGCUGGCUGUGAAAGUGAGAGAACAGCUUUUGCAGAUGAAAGGCCAACGAUGAUAACACUGGAAUGUGACCUCAGACAUUUAUCAGAAUGACAUUGUCUGUCAGACGAUAUGGCAUUCUUAUUUUUCUGACCACUUUUGGCAUGGAAUCAGGUUUUCCUAGAACUGUGAUUUGUCUUCACUUUGUUCUGGAAAGGUUCGAUAACAGCUACUCCUCCACUUCAGAAUGGUAUUUUAUGACACGCUGAUUAUGAAGCAUAUGAAGUUACUGCACGGUUCCCUUGAAGUCAGUAACUGUCCACAACCAGAAAGGGUAUCUUCUUUUUGACCUUCUCUACUUAGCAGCCAUCUUAGGACCCAUAUCUGGUCAUAUUACAGUGUAACUUACUAGCAAACUGACCAUUUGAAAAGAGCAGUUCUGUCAUGGUUUAAAGAGGAGCUAUGUUGUUAACACAGGAAAAAAAAAUAUUGUGGACAAGGAAUGGAAUUAAAAUCAAACUUACCUAAUUUAUAGCUGGAUCCAAAGCUAACCAAAGCCGGUGGGAAUUUUUCCACUGGCUUCAUUAAACUUUGCAUAUUUGCCCAAAGAAGUGCUAGUAAUACAGCCCAGCCAGGCCCUGGGAGAUGCUCCAACCCCUUGCUCUCGGCUGACCUUCUUUUGCUGGCGUACAGAGCUGCUAGGGUGAUAAUAGUGCUACAUAUAGUACCGAGGGCAGGCUAAACUAAAACCUGAAAUGAAAAAAUAUUGUAGGAAAAUACUCACUAAAAAGGAAAAGCUAAAUGUAAACAGUAAAUGAUAGCAGUAUUAUGGGUUCCUUUGCCUUUAGGCUAGUGCUUACACAUUUAUAGAUAAUGACAUGCAGACAUUAGUUUAAGAUGCUUAUUGAUGCUUUGUAGACUAAAGUUUUAAGCAAAACAGAAGGCAAGAGCAGGCAAGUUUCCAAAAUCUGUAUAUAUUGUGAAAUAAAAAAGUACAUUUAA